CCUACGGGCGGCAGCAGUCGAGAAUCAUUCACAAUGGGGGAAACCCUGAUGGUGCGACGCCGCGUGGGGGAAUGAAGGUCUUCGGAUUGUAAACCCCUGUCAUGUGGGAGCAAAUUAAAAAGAUAGUACCACAAGAGGAAGAGACGGCUAACUCUGUGCCAGCAGCCGCGGUAAUACAGAGGUCUCAAGCGUUGUUCGGAAUCACUGGGCGUAAAGCGUGCGUAGGCUGUUUCGUAAGUCGUGUGUGAAAGGCGCGGGCUCAACCCGCGGACGACACAUGAUACUGCGAGACUCGAGUAAGGGAGGGGGAACCGGAAUUCUCGGUGUAGCAGUGAAAUGCGUAGAUAUCGAGAGGAACACUCGUGGCGAAGGCGGGUUCCUGGACAUUAACUGACGCUGAGGCACGAAGGCCAGGGGAGCGAAAGGGAUUAGAUACCCUUGUAGUC
rnacentral:rRNA from 1 species